AUUGAACGCUGGCGGCAUGCUUUACACAUGCAAGUCGAACGGUAACAGGUUAAGCUGACGAGUGGCGAACGGGUGAGUACUGCAUCGGAACGUGCCCGAUCGUGGGGGAUAACGCAGCGAAAGCUGCGCUAAUACCGCAUACGAUCUGAGGAUGAAAGCGGGGGACCGUAAGGCCUCGCGCGAUCGGAGCGGCCGAUGUCAGAUUAGGUAGUUGGUGGGGUAAAGGCUCACCAAGCCGACGAUCUGUAGCUGGUCUGAGAGGACGACCAGCCACAAUGGGACUGAGACAUGGCCCAGACGCCUACGGGAGGCAGCAGUGGGGAAUUUUGGACAAUGGGCGCAAGCCUGAUCCAGCAAUGCCGCGUGCAGGAAGAAGGCCUUCGGGUUGUAAACUGCUUUUGUACGGAGCGAAAAGGCUCUCUCUAAUACAGGGGGCUCAUGACGGUACCGUAAGAAUAAGCACCGGCUAACUACGUGCCAGCAGCCGCCGUAA
rnacentral:rRNA from 1 species